rnacentral:rRNA from 1 species
AGUGAACGCUGGCGGCGUGCUUAACACAUGCAAGUCGAACGAGAACGGGUUAUAGCUUGCUAUAAUUGUCAGCUAAGUGGCGCACGGGUGAGUAAUGUAUAGGUAAUAUGCCUCUUACUAAGGGAUAACAAAUGGAAACGUUUGCUAAUACCUUAUACUCCUUAUUAACAGAAGUUAAUAAGGGAAAGAUUUAUUGGUAAGAGAUUAGCCUGUAUUGUAUCAGUUAGUUGGUGGGGUAAUGGCUUACCAAGACUAUGACACAUAACUGGUUUGAGAGGAUGAUCAGUCACACUGGAACUGAGACACGGUCCAGACUCCUACGGGAGGCAGCAGUGGGGAAUAUUGCACAAUGGACGAAAGUCUGAUGCAGCAACGCCGCGUGGAGGAUGACACAUUUCGGUGCGUAAACUCCUUUUGUAUGAGAAGAUAAUGACGGUAUUAUAUGAAUAAGCACCGGCUAACUACGUGCCAGCCGCCGCGGUAA